ACGGCUCAGUAACACGUGGAUAACCUGCCCUAAGGUGGAGGAUAACCCCGGGAAACUGGGGAUAAUACUCCAUAGGUUAAAGGUACUGGAAUGUUCUUUAACCGAAAGUUCCGGCGCCUUAGGAUGGAUCUGCGGCCGAUUAGGUUGUUGUUGGGGUAGUGGCCCAACAAGCCUGUAAUCGGUACGGGUUGUGGGAGCAAGAGCCCGGAGAUGGAAUCUGAGACACGAUUCCAGGCCCUACGGGGCGCAGCAGGCGCGAAAACUUUACAAUGCAGGAAACUGUGAUAAGGGAACCCCGAGUGCCCGUAUAUGCGGGCUGUCCGGAUGUUUAAAACGCAUCCGAAGAAAGGGCCGGGCAAGACCGGUGCCAGCCGCCGCGGUAAUACCGGCGGCUCGAGUGGUGGCCACUUUUAUUGGGCUUAAAGCGUUCGUAGCUUGAAUAAUAAGUCUCUUGGGAAAUCUGCAGGCUUAACCUGCAGGCGUUUAAGAGAAACUGUUGUUCUAGGAACCGGAAGAGGUGAGAGGUACUCCGGGGGUAGGAGUGAAAUCCUGUAAUCCCCGGGGGACCACCGAUGGCGAAGGCAUCUCACCAGGACGGCUUCGACAGUGAGGAACGAAAGCUGGGGGAGCGAACCGGGAUUAGAUACCCGGGUAGUCCCAGCCGUAAACGAUGUGCGUUAGGUGUGCCGGUGACCACGAGUCACUGGGGUGCCGAAGGGAAACCGUGAAACGUACCGCCUGGGAAGUACGGCCGCAAGGCUGAACUUAAAGGAAUUGGCGGGGGAGCACAAGGG
rnacentral:rRNA from 1 species